AUUGAACGCUGGCGGCAGGCCUAACACAUGCAAGUCGAGCGAGCGGAGGACGGGUGAGUAAUGUAUGGGGACUGCCCGAUAGAGGGGGAUAACUACUGGAAACGGUGGCUAAUAACGCAUACUAUCGGCUACCCCAGAUGGGAUUAGCUAGUAGGUCAGGUAAUGGCUGACCUAGGCGACGAUCCCUAGCUGGUCUGAGAGGAUGAUCGGCCACACUGGGACUGAGACACGGCCCAGACUCCUACGGAGGCAGCAGUGGGGAAUAUUGCACAAUGGGCGAAAGCCUGAUGCAGCAAUGCCGCGUGUAUGAAGAAGGUCCUAGGGUUGUAAAGUACUUUCAGUCGGGAGGCGUUACCGACAGAAGAAGCCCCGGCUAACUCCGUGCCAGCAGCCGCGGUAAUUC
rnacentral:rRNA from 1 species